rnacentral:lncRNA from 1 species
CGCACGAGGGAAGCAAUUAAACCCUAAAUCAGCUCCUCUCCUAUAAAAAGGACCUUAAGUGGCCAAGGACAGAGAACACAAUUUCUUGAUCUCUCCAAUUCGGCAGUGCUCGGCGUGGCAGAAGUGCAGAUCUCCUCUUUUCGGUUUCGUUUUCUUUUCCUUUUAUUUUUCUGUUUUCAAUUCAGUCAAUGAGUGGCUGAUUUUCUUAAUUCUAGUUGAGGAUUGGUU